UAGUUAGAGCCCGUUAAUGGGUGAUAGCGUGCCUUUUGUAGAAUGAACCGGCGAGUUACGAUUUGUUGCAAGGUUAAGCGGAAAAAGCGGAGCCGUAGCGAAAGCGAGUCUGAAUAGGGCGCAUAAGUAACAGGUCGUAGACCCGAAACCAGGUGAUCUACCCAUGUCCAGGAUGAAGGUAAGGUAAUACUUACUGGAGGUCCGAACCCACGCACGUUGAAAAGUGCGGGGAUGAGGUGUGGGUAGCGGAGAAAUUCCAAUCGAACUUGGAGAUAGCUGGUUCUCUCCGAAAUAGCUUUAGGGCUAGCCUCGAGGUAAAGAGUCAUGGAGGUAGAGCACUGUUUGGACUAGGGGCCCUUCUCGGGUUACCGAAUUCAGAUAAACUCCGAAUGCCAUGUACUUAUACUCGGGAGUCAGACUGCGAGUGAUAAGAUCCGUAGUCGAAAGGGAAACAGCCCAGACCACCAGUUAAGGUCCCCAAAUAUAUGUUAAGUGGAAAAGGAUGUGGGGUUGCUUAGACAACCAGGAUGUUGGCUUAGAAGCAGCCACCAUUGAAAGAGUGCGUAAUAGCUCACUGGUCGAGUGACCCCGCGCCGAAAAUGUACCGGGGCUAAACAUAUUACCGAAACUGUGGAUGAACCUCUUUAGAGGUUCGUGGUAGGAGAGCGUUCUAAGGGCGGUGA
rnacentral:rRNA from 1 species